AACAAAUUUUAAGGUAAGUCUUCUAAAUUUACUCUGGGAGUGUCCCCGUUUGUUU
rnacentral:tRNA from 1 species